rnacentral:lncRNA from 1 species
CGGCUGGGUAGGAAGCACGCUAGCAGGGGCCUCUGGCCUUGCUGAGGGUCCCUGUUUCCCCUUUUCCUUCCUUUUCACCCAACAAAACCCUGCUUUACUCACCCUUCAAACCAUCUAUGAGCCUAAAUUGUCGUGGUCGUGGAAUGGACAAGGACCCAGUCUUUAGCUGAACUAAGGGAAAGUCCUGCUUUUUGGCGCGCAACAGGGGAGCUCAAGAAACAGGCCUCACUCACGGCAUAUGGAACUAACCACGCCCCUAACUAAGAAGGCACACCUUAGUUGCAGUUAGCACACAAUUAAAGCAACUCUCCAAGUUUUACCUUAAAGUUCAAAAUUGCUAGGAGUUGAAACUACUAGAAAUAUAUUUACAUGCAAGGAGUCAAAGAAACUUUGAACUAUUUAUGGCCUUUAAUAAUUAAGUAAGGUAUACUCCUGUGAUCAAGACUUGGAGCAUAUUUGUUUCUCUCUGCCUGGUUCCUCUAGAAAUUGGAAACUAUCACAAAACAAGAAAGCCAAACACAGAAAGUGUCACAGUUGACGCUGAGACUGUUGAAACAUAAAAUAAAAGAACAGAGACCAACUCCGUUUCCCGAUCCCUUUGCAAUCUGCAUUGAACCAUGAGUCAAGUUCUUGAUAAAGGAGUGAAAAUGGUAAGUCUAAAGCAAUGAAAAGCUGCUGUAUUGACUACACAUGCCUUCAUUUCUUCUACCCUGCUUCUUUCAUGCCUGCUUAUCUGAAUGACACCAGGAUGACAUUUAAGGCACAUCUGAAGAUGGGGAAACCACAGCACAGAAUAAGGCUGGGCCCUUGAAUCAAUAAAUGAAGGAGAACUACUCAAGAGAACAAAACCACCAGCAAUAUCCACCUGUAUUUGUCUUUUCAUAAGGUAGAGAUGGGGUUUCUCCAGGUUGCCCAGGCUGGUCUUGAACUCCUAAGUUCAAGUGAUCUGCUCACCUCAGCCUCUCAAAGUGCUGGGAUUACAGGCAUGAAUCACCGUGCCCAGCCUUUUGGCCCACUUUUUAAUAGGUUGCUUUUUUUCUUUUAAAUUUGUUAAAGUUCCUUAUAGAUGCUACAUAUUAGACCUUUGUUGAAUGCACAGUUUGCAAAAAUUUUCUCCCAUUCUGUCAGUUGUCUGUAUACUCUGUUGUGUGACACAUGUGCUCAUGGAUUAUUGUCCGAAGCAAGACAUGUGACCAAGCCUAACAUCAACUGGGUGAAGAGCUAUAUGUUCCUUUCUCAAGAGGCACUACAAGUGACAUGCCACUGGGCAGGUAAGCAUAAGUCUUUCUCCAUUGUAUUGAAAGGUCAUUAAGAGUCUGUUCAAAUAACUCAUAUGUGAAAUAUGACAAGAAUUCCAUACUAAUAUAAUGUUAUCCAGUAAUAUUUACAGCAAAGUUACUAUUUAUGCAGUGUUUUGCUGGAGCCAAUUUAUAAUGGCACACAAGAGUCAACUGUGCACCUCUCUUCCCAAUGCUACAUUCGAUGAUGUCAUCAAAAUAAAGCUGAGAUUUGCCAAACUCAUUGUCAAUCAGAGUUUGCCUAAGGAGGUAUUUCUAAGAAUAAAACAUAAUUGAGUCCCGAAAAGAUAUGUAAAAUAUUCAUUUUUAAUGAUACUGCUGCUGUUACUGACAAUAGUAAUUAUAUUUAUUUUUUGGCCAAAAAAUUUAAUUAUAAACUUUUGCCAAAUUGUCUUUGUCAAUUAAUAAAGUUUAAAAUUUAUCAAGUAUUUCUUCUACUGUGUUUGGAAAAAUUCCCUGGAUCUCUAUUGAGCUUACUUUGAAUAAUAAAAAAAAAACUCUUAUUUUAAUAUGAGGAAAUCUUCCAGUGCUGACUUUGCCCUGUAUCAAGCUUAUUAAAUAUGUAUAUUUGACCACCCCAUUUAGCAUAAAUUCCUAUUUUCUUUGCCUCUCUCUUGAAGUGUCUGUUUCUAGACUUCACCUCUCCUACUCUUCAGUGCACAUGUGUGUAUGCAUCCUGCCAUCUCACCACUGUCAGUGGGAGCACAACUCUCAGUCCCACCCCUACUAACAUGCAGGCACCCCACCAUGCCACCAGGACGGGCAUGAAUGCUGGCAACACUGUCUCUGCCAGCAAACUACCCCUGCUAUGCCACCACUGCAAUCAUGUGCAAGAAUGCUUCCACCCCACUCCCAUUGGUGCCCCACCAAAGCCAAUGCACAUGCACCCCAACAUGCCACUGUUGAGGACCAACCAAAAUAUUCAGGACCUGAACUAGACACUUGACCAAAUGGAACUAACAGAUAUCUACAGAACUCUCCACCAAAAAAUAACAGAGUGUACAUUCUGUGCCAUUGUGACUGCUGAGACACACAAGUGAGCAUGGGUUCUGCUGUCACUGCCAAGAUGAAGUGCUUUGGCCAACACCAUCCACUGAAGUGCUGUGGUCAGCAGACUGAGAACUCCUCAGGCCCUCCAUCACAACAAGUUCCCAACCACCAGGGGCCAGAAAACAGAGCUGGGGACCUGUUACCAGCCCCAGAGUUAGAGUACACAGCCCAGGAGUGCUGAGGUGUGCUUUGGUCCCCUAACAUGUUCCAGAAGCAAAACCAGUCAACCCACUUUAUACCACAAUCAAACCUCCAAGGGCAUCAAAGAAGAAAAAGGCAAAAAAAAAAAAAAAAUGGGAAUUACUUCACACAGCAAAUCUAAGGAAGAGACUGUUAAUUUGGCUUUGCCAGUUACUCCUUCUCAAGGCCCAUAAUUAAAUGUGAGUUUCUGGGCACUAAUGCAAAAGCCAGAUUUGCUCUGAGCCUGCGGGGCUUAUAAAUUGGUUGCUUUUGCAAACUGUUAUUGUUCCUUUAGGUCAAGAGGGGAAGAAUUAUUGACUUUGUUCAGUUGAAUUAAAUGCUCCCCUUGUGGUUUGAAAGAAGAAAUUUGCCUCCCUCACCCUCUAAGAUUACAUACAAAGGGAGAAUUGUUUUUGGGCAAGUUAGACUUGAUGAAAAAAUAUACAGUUCUACUGGAUUAUAGCACUGUGUGUUGCCUUAGAGUCACAUGACUCCAGUUUUGCCUUCUAUAUGAAGCCCAAGGCUUUCAUCUUUUUCUGAUACAGUGGGCUCUUCAGCUUUAAGCACUGACUUUUGUGUGCUAGUAUACAAUGCCUGUACACUCCCACAAAAAGCUCAAGAUGUCCUUACACGUAUUUGCUGUAGGUGUCCUUCAGCCGAUUUCAGUGCCUAGAAUCUAGAUGCUUUGCACCUAGUUUCACCUUUGCUCACAGAUGCUAGUGCCUUUUAGAAUCCCAAGAGGCCAAAGUAAAACUGAAAAGCCUAGGAGGACCUGGUGUGGCAAAAUCUCAUCAUGAUCCAUGCAACAGUGGAGGCAAUGUUACGCUCUGCCUCAGGUUAUACUUCUAUGCAAAUUAAAAAUAAAAUUCAUAGGAAGCAAUUAUAUUAGAGUUGGUAUUUAAUCCAGCAUUCUUCUGAAUUAUCUUACAUAUAAACUUAGUUCAUCUUAAUAUGAGAAUUAUAUAAUAAAUUUGAGGAAAUCUUACAGAUUUGUUCAAAAUAUGCUUGCUGAAUAAAUAAAUUAAUAGUAUAUGCUAAUACAGGAGAAAGAAUGCAGAGAAAACACAUUCUUUUCUUGCUACUCAGUUGCCAGAGAAGUAUAUCUAUAAUAUUUUCAGUUGUGAUGCUAUGUCCCAUUGAAUUCAACCACACAUUGGAAAAAUCAGUUUACCCUAGAAUCUAGUUAUUGUUGUGGUACAGUUUAAUUUUUGUCAAAUAAUUCUUUCUAAAAUUUCUAAUGUAAGUCUUUAAUUUUCAAGAUAUUUUGCUUAGAAGAUGAUAUGGUUUGGCUGUGUCCCCACCCAAAUCUCACCUUGAAUUCCCAGGUGUUGUAGGGGGCAGGUCUUUCCUGUGCUGUUCUUGUGAAAGUGAGUAAGUCUCAUGAGAUCUGAAGGCUUUGAAAAACAGGAAUCUCCCUGUACAAGCUCUCUCUUUGCCUGCUGCCAUCCAUGUAAGACGUGACUUGCUCCUUCUUGUCUUCUGCCAUAAUUGUGAGUCUUCCCCAGCCCAGAGUUGGAAUGAGGACCUAGAUCUUUCAUUUUAAUCUAAUACUCUUUCUUCCACUAUUUUAGUUAGAGUCAUAUGGGCAAGCCCACAAUUAGUACAUGAGGACAUUUUUAAUGGGUAAGAUUACAGAGAACCAUUAAUUCUAGCCAUUAAAUUAAUCAAUUCAGCAAAGCUCUGAUUCCCCCUUCCCUUAAUUGUUAAAUAAGUAGUUCUCCAUUCAGUUGUUAAAGGAUUAUUUCUUGAUAACAAGGAAAUAAUAAACUUCUUAAGACACCCUGGUAUGAAUAGCUGAAAUUGAUUGAUAGUAAUCUCAGUAAAUCGUUUCAUUCUAAUUUUUGGUAUAUCUAUACUGCUUUGAAUAACUCUUCUACCUACAGCCCAUUAAUAAAUAUUUGCCUAGUCAAAUUUUAGUUUGUGCUAUACUCCUAGAAGGACAUGGGGUGUAUGGAAGCGAAACUAACUGGAUAUUUAAGGCAUUCAAUAAUGUCUUUUUGCUUCCGAUUCUAGCUGUAUAACAUAGGUAAAUCUCUUAAAUUCUCAGAACUUCAAUUCAUUUAUAUGUAAAGUGAGGAGUUGUACCAUAUUGGUAGUUAUUAACAUGUACUGUACUUAUGAAUCAGUCUGAAAAUCUUGCUAAACUGCAUAUUCUGAGCUUUUCUUAAUUUUUUUUUGUUUUCUCGGAAACGCUGAUUCUCUAGGUCUUGGUUGGAGUCCAGGUAUCUGCAAAUUAAAUAAGCACUUGAAGUGAUAGUAUCUGAGUGUCCGUAGGCAAAUGUUAGGAGAACUGAAUCAGAUGUUCUUUGAAAGAUUUUCAUGGUUCUAAAAUGUUCUGAUUUAAAAUCCACAAAGAAAAAAAGCAUUGGUGUAUGUGUGUAUAUUCAUUCACAACACUGAUAGUUUCCUUGGAUCUUAAUGAGAAGCACUAAAGAGAUUUAAAUAGAGAAUGACAACAUGUAAUUUGGCUUUUAAACAAAGUUAUGUUUUUUAAUGCAGAAAAUAAAUUGGAAUGAAGCCCAUGUGAAUGCAUGGAGACAAGGUGAAAAGGUAGAUGAGAAAAAAGUUGGAAAUAUUUGCAGGUACAUUUGACAGGACCAGGAGAUGUCUUGGGCAUUCAUGAUGAUGGAAGAGUGGUCAAUAAUGACUCUAUUUUCUAGCUUGUAUCAUGAGAUGAAUGGAGACCCGUAGAAGAAUAAGUUUUGUGAGUGACUGGGUCAUGUAAUAUAUUUUGGAUUUGUUAAAUGUGAACUACUUUUAAGAAACUGUGGGGAAAAACUUCGUUUUGUUUACAUCCAUGAAUCAUUUGAAGCACGAAAAAUAAUUCUCAGCUGAAGAUACAAAUAUGAGGGCCCUGGGUGUAUAACUGAAGGCACGAGUAUAAAUGGGAUUAUUUAGGGAGGGCUUAAAAGUGGAUAGAGAGUAAAUUCACAGACUAUAGGUACAAAAUAAUCACCAAUGACAAUAUAUUAUGCAGCUUAAGACCAAUUGUAUGUAUUUUCCUGACAAUGUCUUUUAGAGCCUGUGACUAGUUUUCUCCUGAAGAUGUGGUGAUCUUCUUAUCAAUUUUUAAGAGUACUUAAAUGUUUUAACAAUUAUAUUUAACUCAAAAUUAGUUUCCAACUUGUUUUCCUUUAAUUAUAAUUUAAAGUGUAUAUUUUAUGUGUACGAAUAUUAAAAAUUUAUGAAGUCAUAUCUAUUGCCUUUGUCUCUUAUUACUUUACCAAUGCUUACAAAAACUUUCCUCAUUAAUGCUUAUAUAAAUCUUCUUUUUUAUUGCAAAUUUUUCCAUUCUUCUGGUUUGUAAAAUGCCUAAAGUAAAAUGUGUAUCUGAAUUAAUUAAUCGUUAAAUAUCUUUUCAAUUUUCUCAACCCAAUAUAUUGGACAAUUCACCUCUUACUCCCAGAGUUUUAUCUCUACAUAUUAUUCCUAUGAAGCUUUUACACAUGCUGAGACUAAAUGGUCUGUUCUAUGUCAUUGAUUCUAUUUGCCUAGUUGUCUAUUUACCUUGUAGUUUUGAGGUAAUAAAUGGUCCUUUAAACCAGUCAAUCUCUUUAUGCAGGUUCCUUGAUUUUAGCAAUUUUCAAACAGAUAUGAUUAGGUUGGUGCAAAAGUAGUUGCAAUUUUUGCCACUGAAAGUAAUGGUCAAAAUCGCAGUCACUUUUGCACCAACCUAACAGAAGUUUUAAUUGGCGUGCAAUCACUUGUAGAGUGCCUUGAAUAAUAUAAGCAUCCAUACUCUAGCCUGAAUCUCUUAAAUUGGAACCUGUGAAAAUGGAACCAGGUGACUAUAAUUUCUUUAAAACACUGUGGAAAGAUGAUCUUAAUGCAAGGCAGUGAUUAACACAAGAAAAUGAGCAGUAGAAUACAACUAAGAAUUCAUUACUUACUACUAUUUUACAACUCUAAUGGAAAAUGACCUACGAUUUUAUUAGAAAGGUUUAGAAGAAACUAAGCAGAAGGAUUGUGAAGAAAUCAGCAUGAUAGAAAGAGCUCUGGACUGAAGGUUAGAGGACAUCAGGCAUUUUUUUCCUUGGAAUCUCUGAGUCUCACUUGGACUCUGUACCCCAGUCAAUAAACACAAGAGUGUACCGGGUAAUAGUAACAGACAUGUGCUUGCUUUCUGACAACCACUUUUCCUUUCAUUUUCCCAUUAUUUCUAUACCUCUUUUUAAUAAUCCAUAUGGUCCUGGAUUAGUUGACCCCAUUACCAGGCCAAAGGACUCAGACUUUCAAAGUCAAUCAGUAUAUCCCAUCUCAGACACUGUAGGAUUUAGUCGCCAAGAUUAUAAUUCUAAUUGUAAGGAGUGCAGCAUGAAACAUCUGCCUUGAAUUACCUGAGAGCACAUACUCAGGAAAAAGAAAAACGUGAAGGCUUUCGAUAACAAACAUAACAAAAUGGGCAGGAAAAAAGAAACCACGAAACCACUAUGACAACUUUUAAGAAGGAGUCCAUAUCUUUUAAUGUCCUUGAGACUAUAGAAGUUAAUAUAGCAGACACUAGGUAGCUGUGCUUCAACAUCAGAGAAAAAGUGGGCACAGUGGCCACUAUGAGCCACAGAGACUGAGUACUAAUUAGAGUGCUUUGACUUAACAGUCAUCUUUAAUGAUGGCUAAUUAAUCAUGGGAUACUAAGUAUUGGAAUAGAAACCAACAUAGCCUAGUUAUUUUUAGUUAGAGAUGAAUUUGCUUUGAUGUGAUUUUUUUUCUUUUUCUGCAAUGAAGCUAUGUCCAAAGAAUGUACUUUUCUUUUCUGUCCCCUGGGUUGAAGCAAUUCUUGUGCCUCAGCCUCCCAAGUAGCUGGGACUACAGGCACACGCCACCAUGCCCAACUGAUUUUUUGUAUGUUUAGUAGAGACGGGGUUUCGCCAUGUUAGCCAGGCUGGUCUUGAACUCCUGGCCUCAAGUAAUCCACCUGCCUCAGCCUCCCAACAUGCUGAAAUUACAGGUGUGAACAACCACGCCUGGCCAGAAAGUACUUUUCGAGAAGUUUCAUAUAGAUUCUUUUCCUGUUGCUUAGAAAUAGAUGGCAGUUAUUCAGAGAACCAGAGAAACUAAAGUGUGUACAUUUCCCAGUCAAAAAAAAAUACGAUAAAAAUAUUGACUAUGAGCAGAUAUAUUGUCUGGAUUGUCUGUUAAUUAUCCGUGUUCACAUGCAGUGAGUAAUAUUUGGCACAUUUUUUUCUACAUUCCUUAUUUUCAUCCAGAGUAUAAUUAAUGUCUUAAUAUACCAGAAAGAAAAA